rnacentral:tRNA from 1 species
GCGGCUAUGCCCGAGUGGUCUAAGGGGGCAGAUUUAAGCCCUGCUGUUGUAAAACGCGAGAGUUCGAACCUCUCUGGCCGCA